rnacentral:rRNA from 1 species
UGGGGAAUAUUGCACAAUGGAGGGAACUCUGAUGCAGCGACGCCGCGUGAGUGAUGAAGGACUUCGUUUCGUAAAACUCUGUUCUAUGGGAAGAAAAGGACUGUACCAUAGGAGAAAGCUCCGGCUAAAUACGUGCCAGCAGCCGCGGUAAUACGUAUGGAGCGAGCGUUGUCCGGAAUUAUUGGGCGUAAAGGGUGCGCAGGCGGCUUUACAAGUUGGAUGUGAAAUAUUGUGGCUCAACCACAAACGUUCAUCCAAAACUGCAAAGCUUGAGUUAAGGAGCGGUAAGUGGAAUGCCUCGUGUAGCGGUGGAAUGCGUAGAUAUCAGGAGGAAUACCGGUAGCUACGGCGACUUACUGGACCUAAACUGCCGCUCAAGCUCGAAAGCGUGGGGAGCAAACAGG